CAGCAGUGGGGAUAUUGCACAAUGGGCGCAAGCCUGAUGCAGCCAUGCCGCGUGUGUGAAGAAGGCUUUCGGGUUGUAAAGCACUUUCAGCGAGGAGGAAAGGUUGUACUUUAAUAGAGUGCAGCUGUGACGUUACUCGCAGAAGAAGCACCGGCUAACUCCGUGCCAGCAGCCGCGGUAAUACGGAGGGUGCGAGCGUUAAUCGGAAUUACUGGGCGUAAAGCGCGCGUAGGCGGUUAAUUAAGUCAGAUGUGAAAUCCCAGGGCUCAACCUUGGAACUGCAUUUGAAACUGGUUAACUAGAGUUUUGUAGAGGGUGGUAGAAUUUCAGGUGUAGCGGUGAAAUGCGUAGAGAUCUGAAGGAAUACCAGUGGCGAAGGCGGCCACCUGGACAAAGACUGACGCUGAGGCGCGAAGGCGUGGGGAGCAAACGGGAUUAGAUACCCCGGUAGUCCACGCAGUAAACGAUGUCUAUUAGAAUUUUGUGGCUAUAUGCCGUGGGAUUCAAAGCUAACGCAUUAAAUAGACCGCCUGGGGAGUACGGCCGCAAGGUUAAAACUCAAAUGAAUUGACGGGGCCCCG
rnacentral:rRNA from 1 species